AUUGAACGCUGGCGGCAGGCCUAACACAUGCAAGUCGAACGGCAGCACAGAAGAGCUUGCUCUUUGGGUGGCGAGUGGCGGACGGGUGAGUAACACGUAGGAAUCUACCCAGUAGUGGGGGAUAACCUGGGGAAACCCAGGCUAAUACCGCAUACGCCCUGAGGGGGAAAGCGGGGGAUCUUCGGACCUCGCGCUAUUGGAUGAGCCUGCGUCGGAUUAGCUAGUUGGUGGGGUAAGGGCUCACCAAGGCGACGAUCCGUAGCUGGUCUGAGAGGAUGACCAGUCACACCGGAACUGAGACACGGUCCGGACUCCUACGGGAGGCAGCAGUGGGGAAUAUUGGACAAUGGGCGCAAGCCUGAUCCAGCCAUGCCGCGUGGGUGAAGAAGGCC
rnacentral:rRNA from 1 species